AUUUCUCGUGUUCUUUCGUUAAACAAGCGGUUAAUAGAUUAUACACAAAAUAACAGGCUCUCCAUUGUACUCUCCAUCAAGUCCAGUGUCCAAGAGUGUACGGGGGCGGCCAGAUAUUUGACAAGUCCAGCUUUACAAGGUUUCCAGGAUGCUCUGUUCCCGGUUUCCUGAAUACUCUGUUCCCAGUAUCCUGGCUACCUUGUUCCACGUAUCCUGGAUACCCUUUUCCAGUUUUCCUGGAUACCCUGUUCCAGGUUUCCUGGAUGUUCCAGGUUUCUUGGAUACCCUGCUCCUGGUUUCCUGGAUACACAGUUCCAUGUUUCAUUGAUUUGCUGUUCCCAGUUUCCCGGGAAUAGUGUUCCAGGUUUCCUGGUUACUCUGUUCCAGUUUUCCUGGAUACAGUGUUCCAGGUUUCCUGGAUACCCUGUUCCCGGUUUCCUGGAUAUCCUGCUCCAGAUUACCUGGAUACCCUGUUCCAGGUUUCCUGGAUACCCUGUUCCCGGUUUCUGGAUACCCUGUUCCCGGUUUCCUGUAUAACCUGCUCCAGAUUACCUAGAUACCCCAUUCCAGGUUUCUUGGAUACAUAGUUCCAGGUUUCCUGGAAAUCCUGUUCCAGGUUUCCUAAAUACACUGUUCUAGGCUUCCUGGAUACCCUGUUCCAGAUUCCUAGAAACAGUGUUCCAGGUUUCUUGGAUACAUAGUUCCAGGUUUUCUGGAUACAGUGUUCCAGGAUUCCUACUCUCCCCACUCCCCCUUUCAUGCUUAUUAUUGUGUGCAUAUAUUUAGGUUUGGUCUGUUCAUUUUUCAGACAUGUUAUUUUACUCGAAUGCAGAGAAGUAAAUUUAGUUUUAAAAACAUCAGAAAUAAGAGACGAUUAAACGUCGGACCUAUUUUUAAUACAUUUAGUUGGAAAGCUGGGGAAAAGAUUUAUGUCUGCUAAAUAUAGAUUCAGGAAAUAAGACCUUAAGUCAAAACUUUUAAAUGUGAGAAUAUCACUAAUCUACCUGAUCCUGAUCUUGAUCUUGAU